AGUGAACGCUGGCGGUAGGCCUAACACAUGCAAGUCGAACGGCAGCACAGUAAGAGCUUGCUCUUACGGGUGGCGAGUGGCGGACGGGUGAGGAAUACAUCGGAAUCUACUUUUUCGUGGGGGAUAACGUAGGGAAACUUACGCUAAUACCGCAUACGACCUACGGGUGAAAGCAGGGGAUCUUCGGACCUUGCGCGAUUGAAUGAGCCGAUGUCGGAUUAGCUAGUUGGCGGGGUAAAGGCCCACCAAGGCGACGAUCCGUAGCUGGUCUGAGAGGAUGAUCAGCCACACUGUAACUGAGAAACGGUCCAGACUCCUACGGGAGGCAGCAGUGGGGAAUAUUGGACAAUGGGCGCAAGCCUGAUCCAGCCAUACCGCGUGGGUGAAGAAGGACUUCGGGUUGUAAAGCCCUUUUGUUGGGAAAGAAAAGCAGCAGGUUAAUACCCCGCUGUUCUGACGGUACCCAAAGAAUAAGCACCGGCUAACUUCGUG
rnacentral:rRNA from 1 species